UUCAAUAAGAAUGCAGCUGUGAUUUACAUUUGUUCCCUGACUGUGAUCCUUCUUUGUUUUCUUCUUUUGUUAAUAGAAGGUUGAUUUCCCAAUGAGCCACUCCAGAUGCACUCUUGGCCUUAAACCGGGAUUCUCCAAGUGUGCUAAACCGGCAGCAUCAGAAUCACCCAGGAGCUGCUUGGUCAGUGGUGAUCAUGUCCCUCUCUUAGAGAGCUUCAGUGAGUGGCUCAAGGACAUACUUAGUUGAAACUUUGGACAGUUAACAGAAUUUAAAUAUGUCUUCUAAGCUUGACCUUCCUUUGUGGCCCUCUGUGGACUGGCCAAUGGACUUUUGAAGGAGAAAGACGAAUUGGCCAAAGCCUCUUAAUUUGAGGCUGGACCAAUGGAAGGGCUGUGGAGGAUGAAUAUAAAAUGAUAUUCCUGGGGCGCCUGGGUGGCUCAGUCGGUUAAGUGUCCAGCUUUGGCUCAGGUCA